UACGGGGGGGGCAAGCGUUGUUCGGAAUUACUGGGCGUAAAGGGCUCGUAGGUGGCCAACUAAGUCAUACGUGAAAUCCCUCGGCUUAACCGGGGAACUGCGUCUGAUACUGUUUGGCUUGAGUUUGGGAGAGGGAUGCGGAAUUCCAGGUGUAGCGGUGAAAUGCGUAGAUAUCUGGAGGAACACCGGUGGCGAAGGCGGCAUUCUGGACCGAUAUUGACGCUGAGGAGCGAAAGCCAGGGGAGCAAACGGG
rnacentral:rRNA from 1 species